rnacentral:rRNA from 1 species
GAUGAACGCUAGCGGCAGGCUUAAUACAUGCAAGUCGAGGGGCAGCGCAGUGUAGCAAUACAUGGGCGGCGACCGGCAAACGGGUGCGGAACACGUACGCAACCUUCCUUUAAGUGGGGGAUAGCCCAGGGAAACUUGGAUUAAUACCCCGUAAUAUUAUGAAGUGGCAUCACUUUAUACUUAUAGCUCCGGCGCUUAAAGAUGGGCGUGCGACUGAUUAGGUAGUUGGCGGGGUAACGGCCCACCAAGCCUGCGAUCAGUAACUGGUGUGAGGGCACGACCAGUCACACGGGCACUGAGACACGGGCCCGAAUCCUACGGGAGGCAGCAGUAAGGAAUAUUGGUCAAUGGACGCAAGUCUGAACCAGCCGUGCCGCGUGGAGGAUGAAGGUCCUCUGGAUUGUAAACUUCUUUUAUUUGGGAAGAAACCCACUGUUUCUACGGUGGUUGACGGUACCAGAUGAAUAAGCACCGGCUAACUCCGUGCCAGCCGCCGCAGUAAGAC